rnacentral:rRNA from 1 species
UACGUAGGUGGCAAGCGUUGUCCGGAAUUAUUGGGCGUAAAGCGCGCGCAGGCGGUUCGUUAAGUCUGAGGUGAAAGCCCACGGCUCAACCGUGGAGGGUCAUUGGAAACUGGGGAACUUGAGUGCAGAAGAGGAAAGUGGAAUUCCAAGUGUAGCGGUGAAAUGCGUAGAGAUUUGGAGGAACACCAGUGGCGAAGGCGACUUUCUGGUCUGUAACUGACACUGAGGCGCGAAAGCGUGGGGAGCAAACGGG